CCACACCAUGGUUGUUACCAAAAAGAAACCCAUGAAGAAUACCAACAGUAAUUUGAAAGAUCAAGAUCCGAAGCAAGGUACCACCGCCAUUGAUAACCAUCUCACAACACUUGAUUCAAGAUUUAAUCAAACUCUCCUCAAUGUACAAGGGAUGUUAAAGGGUCGCAGCUUCCCUGGUAAAGUGCUGAUAACAAGAUCAGAUCCAAUGGAUGCUACAAUUUUACACUCUCCUGGUAUUGAUCGUAGUCCCUCUACUGGCUCAAAUAAAUACGAGGAUGGUACAAAUGAGGAUCAAGUUCACAGAAGUAAACCAGAUGCUAGUACCACUGCAAAUCAGUUAAAUUCUUCAAUGAUAAAUCCUGUGAAUACAUCUUUGGAGGCUCCGAGGUUUGUGAUGAGCACCAGAGCUACGGACACUGCUAAGCUGAUGAAGUUCACGAAAGUGUUGGGGGGAGUAACUGUCAUUUUAGACAAGUUGCGUGAGUUAGCUUGGAGUGGUGUGCCACCUUAUCUGCGCCCUAAUGUUUGGAGGCUUCUUUUGGGAUAUGCACCCCCUAAUUCAGAUCGAAGGGAGGGAGGCCUAAGAAGAAAGCGCAUAGAGUAUUUUGAUUGUGUUGCUCAGUAUUACGACAUUUCAGAUAAUGAACGUACUGAUGAGGAGAUUAAUAUGCUUAGACAGAUUGCUGUUGAUUGUCCUAGAACCGUGCCUGAUGUUAAUUUUUUCCAACAAGUCCAAGUCCAGAAAUCCUUGGAGCGAAUACUAUAUACAUGGGCAAUCCGGCAUCCGGCAAGUGGAUACGUCCAGGGAAUAAAUGAUCUUGCUACACCCUUUUUAGUAGUUUUCUUGUCAGAACAUUUAGAAGGGAACGUUGAUAGUUGGUCAAUUGCUGAUUUAGAUCCUGAUAAGAUCUCCAAUGUUGAAGCUGAUUGUUAUUGGUGUCUAUCCAAGUUACUUGAUGGUAUGCAAGACCAUUAUACGUUUGCUCAACCCGGGAUCCAACGGCUAGUAUUUAAACUCAAGGAAUUGGUGAGACGAAUUGAUGAACCUAUUUCUAGGCAUAUGGAAGAGCAAGGGCUUGAUUUUCUUCAAUUUUCUUUUCGAUGGUUCAAUUGUCUUCUUAUACGAGAGGUAUGUUGCUGCUUGUUCCAUUUUCUUCUUCAUGAUUUGUAAUGGCCGUUUGCUAAAUGCUUACCGGGUGUUAUUUACCUUACCGGGUGAGCAUGACAAGGACCGAGAAUCUUACCCAGUAAGCACUAACUGGGUAAGAGACACUUCAAUAAUCCAUUUUGAUGGCCGAUAAUGUCAACUGAUAAGAUUCCUUUCCAUCUGGUCACCCGUUUAUGGGACACAUAUCUUGCUGAAGGUGAUGCAUUGCCAGAUUUCCUUGUGUAUAUAUUUGCCAGUUUUCUUUUAACGUGGUCGGAAAAGCUCCAAAAGUUGGAUUUCCAGGAGAUGGUGAUGUUCCUUCAACACCUCCCGACACAGAACUGGGGUGACCAAGAGCUGGAAAUGGUCCUUUCGAGGGCGUUUAUGUGGCACACCAUGUUCGACAGUUGUCCCAAUCACUUGGUAUAAUUGUUAUUUUCGUUUUUGCGGAAAAUUCUUAUGUAUAAUCCGAUGUAUUAUUUGUAGUUGUCAUUCUUGAACAUGCUUUGAGUAUAGUUGUAUGGUAGAAGUUGUGAUUGUUUUCUCAUUCAAAAUCUAAAUUGUUGAUACAUUUGAAUGCUUGGAUGUGUUGGAACCUUUUUUUAAUCUAGUUAUCUAUUUACA